rnacentral:lncRNA from 10 species
AUCAAAGAAGAACCCAGAGUUUGUGAAGUCCUUUCAUCCUCCCUGAUGAAAGGGAGAAGCUUACUGCUGUUUUCAUGGCUCUGCAUGCCCGGGGAAAGAGGAAGGCCACAGGAAGGUGACAGCUGAGGCAGGGUAUAACAGCAGGUCCCCAGGGUGGGUCAUUCACUGGGCUGACAAUCCAGUUGAUGCUUGCUUGGGUUGGGGCUCUGUGCUAAUUUGGAUGCUGACAGCCAGGUGACAGCAGCAGAGGGAAAGUAAGCUGAGAAGCAGAGAGGGGGAACCUUGAAAUGAUGCCUCUAAACGAUGGUUGACUUGUUUGUGACAUCACACCCCUAAGGCAUAGCUCUUUCCCCUGGGAGGGAUGCUGAGUGGCAAGUAGGCAGGCUGGGUACAUUUCCUUUUGGGAUGUGGUAGCGACAGUGUCCUACAGAGUCAGACUGGUGGCUUUAACAUCACACUGGCUCCUGGAGGAUGGGACACACAACGUGGGAACCGGCAAGUCACCAGAGUCAUCUCAGCCAAGAUCAACCAAUAGUCAAUUACCAGGAACGUGAGAGAAUUCUGAGACCAGGACUGCUCAGCCACCUCUGCCUAAAAUACCAACACACAGAACAGUAAAGUGAAUGGAUGUUUAUUAUCCUAAGCCACUAUAUUUUGAGAUUGU